rnacentral:rRNA from 1 species
AGCGAACGCUGGCGGCAGGCUUAACACAUGCAAGUCGAGCGGGCGUAGCAAUACGUCAGCGGCAGACGGGUGAGUAACGCGUGGGAACAUACCUUUUGGUUCGGAACAACACAGGGAAACUUGUGCUAAUACCGGAUAAGCCCUUACGGGGAAAGAUUUAUCGCCGAAAGAUUGGCCCGCGUCUGAUUAGCUAGUUGGUGAGGUAACGGCUCACCAAGGCGACGAUCAGUAGCUGGUCUGAGAGGAUGAUCAGCCACAUUGGGACUGAGACACGGCCCAAACUCCUACGGGAGCAGCAGGUGGGGAAUAUUGGACAAUGGGCGAAAGCCUGAUCCAGCCAUGCCGCGUGAGUGAUGAAGGCCUAGGGUUGUAAAGCUCUUUUGUGCGGGAAGAUAAUGACGGUACCGCAAGAAUAAGCCCCGGCUAACUUCGUGCCAGCCGCCGCGGUAAU